rnacentral:rRNA from 1 species
UACAGAGGGUGCAAGCGUUGCUCGGAUUUACUGGGCGUAAAGCGUACGCAGCCGGCCACGCAGGUCGGGUGUGAAAGCCCCGGGCUCAACCCGGGAAUUGCAUUCGAAACCAUGUGGCUCGAGGAUGGAAGAGGAGAGCGGAAUUCCACGUGUAGCGGUGAAAUGCGUAGAGAUGUGGAGGAACACCAGUGGCGAAGGCGGCUCUCUGGACUGUAACUGACGCUGAGGCGCGAAAGCGUGGGGAGCAAACAGG